CCUACGGGAGGCAGCAGUGGGGGAUAUUGCACAAUGGGGGAAACCCUGAUGCAGCGACGCCGCGUGGGUGAAGAAGUAUUUCGGUAUGUAAAGCCCUAUCAGCAGGGAAGAAAGAAGACGGUACCUGACUAAGAAGCCCCGGCUAACUACGUGCCAGCAGCCGCGGUAAUACGUAGGGGGCGAGCGUUAUCCGGAUUCACUGGGUGUAAAGGGAGCGUAGACGGCCGUGCAAGCCAGGAGUGAAAGCCCGGGGCCCAACCCCGGGACUGCUCUUGGAACUGUGCGGCUGGAGUGCGGGAGGGGCAGGCGGAAUUCCUGGUGUAGCGGUGAAAUGCGUAGAUAUCAGGAGGAACACCGGCGGCGAAGGCGGUUCACUGGACUGCAACUGACACUGAGGCUCGAAAGUGUGGGUAUCAAACAGGAUUAGAUACCCUUGUAGUC
rnacentral:rRNA from 1 species